rnacentral:rRNA from 1 species
GACGAACGCUGGCGGCGUGCCUAAUACAUGCAAGUAGAACGCUGAAGGAGGAGCUUGCUUCUCCGGAUGAGUUGCGAACGGGUGAGUAACGCGUAGGUAACCUGCCUGGUAGCGGGGGAUAACUAUUAGAAACGAUAGCUAAUACCGCAUAACAGUAGAUGUUGCAUGACAUUUGCUUAAAAGGUGCAAUUGCAUCACUACCAGAUGGACCUGCGUUGUAUUAGCUAGUUGGUGAGGUAACGGCUCACCAAGGCGACGAUACAUAGCCGACCUGAGAGGGUGAUCGGCCACACUGGGACUGAGACACGGCCCAGACUCCUACGGGAGGCAGCAGUAGGGAAUCUUCGGCAAUGGACGGAAGUCUGACCGAGCAACGCCGCGUGAGUGAAGAAGGUUUUCGGAUCGUAAAGCUCUGUUGUAAGAGAAGAACGAGUGUGAGAGUGGAAAGUUCACACUGUGACGGUAUCUUACCAGAAAGGGACGGCUAACUACGUG